rnacentral:rRNA from 1 species
UACGUAGGGUCCGAGCGUUGUCCGGAGUUACUGGGCGUAAAGCGCGCGCAGGCGGCGGUGCUGGCCCGGCGUGAAAGCCCCCGGCUCAACCGGGGAGAGUCGUCGGGGACCGCACCGCUUGAGGGUGGUAGGGGCUGGUGGAAUGCCUGGUGUAGUGGUGAAAUGCGUAGAGAUCAGGCAGAACACCUGGGGCGAAGGCGGCCAGCUGGGCCGUCCCUGACGCUGAGGCGCGAAGGCGUGGGGAGCGAACGGG